CCUUCGGUAGCUCAGUUGGUAGAGCGGAGGACUGUAGAUCCUUAGGUCACUGGUUCAAUUUCGGUCCGAAGGA